GCCUCGGUGGCUCCUAGGCGAGAGCGCCGGCCUACGGAUCCCCAGGUGGCGGGUUCGAAUCCCGACCGAGGUG
rfam:Ixodes scapularis strain Wikel colony gcontig_1107728752122, whole genome shotgun sequence.